CUCUUUGACUUCCUAAUUUUUUCUGACUGAAAAUGUAUACUCACAGACAAUUCAUUCUCAAUUCAGUCAAUCUUUAACACAAUUUCAAAAUGCACUCUGAGUUGUUUUCUUAGCACCUCUAUGGGCCUUUACAAAGGGCUUCAGCUGAAAGAGAUGCUGACUGAGAUGCCAUACCUUGAUGCUGGUACCGCCAAUAGAAACUCAAAGACCCAAGGACCAGACUGAAUUCUUCACCUGCCUCAGUAAGUAUGUUGACUCACUGAGUCACCUCAAGUCUUUCUGAUAUGUUUUAAUAAUAUCUAAAUGUGUGCAAGGCAUAUCAUCUAAUCAUUUAUGUCUUAUCUACUUGCAAUCUUAUUUUUAAAAUGUUAUGACAAAAGCAAUUGAAGGAAGAGUUGGUUUACCAUGCUUCAGAGUUUUGAGGGUAUAGUCUAUCAUGAUGGACAUUAAUUUUCCAGGAACUUAGGGUUUUAUGCUCAUAACCAAGAAGAAAGUGAUAAGUUCUCAUGUACAGCUUGCUUUCCAGGUCUCAGUCUUAGGAUAUGAUCCUUCCUACUAUUAGGCUAGGCAUCUCUGCAUCACUUGACUUACUCAACAUAAUGUAUCGCUGGCAUGGUCAGAGGCUUGUCUCCAAGAUACUCUUGAUUCUGUCAAGUUGGGUAAUAAAAGCUGACCAUUACAAUCACAGCUUUCUUUCAUCCUCCUUCCAGAGGUAACUUCCCUGCUUUUCUUUUCACAUAUUGUGGACAUCAUGUGAGCCCUAAAGUUGAAACUACAGUUGGCUAUUCCCUAUCACUUCA